rnacentral:rRNA from 1 species
AACGAACGCUGGCGGCAGGCUUAACACAUGCAAGUCGAGCGCUGUAGCAAUACAGAGCGGCAGACGGGUGAGUAACACGUGGGAAUCUACCCAACCCUACGGAACAACUCCGGGAAACUGGAGCUAAUACCGUAUACGCCCUUCGGGGGAAAGAUUUAUCGGGGAUGGAUGAGCCCGCGUUGGAUUAGCUAGUUGGUGGGGUAAAGGCCUACCAAGGCGACGAUCCAUAGCUGGUCUGAGAGGAUGAUCAGCCACAUUGGGACUGAGACACGGCCCAAACUCCUACGGGAGGCAGCAGUGGGGAAUAUUGGACAAUGGGCGCAAGCCUGAUCCAGCCAUGCCGCGUGAGUGAUGAAGGCCUUAGGGUUGUAAAGCUCUUUCACCGAUGAAGAUAAUGACGGUAGUCGGAGAAGAAGCCCCGGCUAACUUCGUGCCAGCCGCCGCCGUAACAC